rnacentral:sRNA from 1 species
UGGACACUGACGGCGCGGCUGGCCCAUA